rnacentral:lncRNA from 1 species
GCUAUACACACGUCAACAGAAAUGUGUGUGCGUGGGUGAGGACUCACCCCUUUCCGGUUUGUGGGAAUGUAAGUGGCUGAGUAAUAUUGUGUCGUCUUAGAGAGUAUGGCUCAAGUGAAGAUCAGGGACACAGCUGGAUGGCACCAGAGCUGUUACACCAGAGCGCUAUGGCAACAAAAACAGAGACGAUCAGUUGCACCAGCUAGCCGAGGUGGGGGGAGGUGGUGCCCUGCAUGCUGAAGGAGGAAGGAUUAGCCAAUCACAGAGCAGGGAGGUCUGCCACACCAGC